UGCUCAAGGUCUUCCACUAGCUUUAACAGUGUUGGGUUCAAAUCUAAAAGAUAAAUCCAUUCGUGAAUGGGAAAGUGCAUUGGAUGAAUAUAAACAAAUACACGAUAAAAAUAUUCAGAGUGUACUUCAAGUAAGUUAUGAUGGACUAGAAGAACAUGAGAAGGACAUGUUUCUUGAUAUUGCAUAUUUCUUCGAAGGAGAACCUUUGGCUGAUGUCAUGAAAAUAUUUGAGAGUUGUCAUUUCCAUCCUAGUUAUGGUAUUCCGAAGCUUAUAGACAAGUGUCUCAUCACUAAUAAUUGUUUGAAUGAGAUUUGGAUGCACGACUUGCUACAAGACAUGGGCAGAGAAAUUAUCCAAAAGGAAUCCAAAGAACCAGGCGCACAUAGUAGAUUAUGGUUUCAUAAAGAUAUUCGCCAUAUACUAGAGGAAAAUACAGGAACAAACAAUGUUGAGGGGAUAGAAGUGAUUCUGCCUGAGGGCAAUGAUCAUGACAUGAUACACUUGAGUCCCAAAUCAUUUGCAAAGAUGAAAAGACUUAGAUUUUUUAAAAGCCAUGGUGCAUACUUUUCUAGAAGAUCACUUGAUUAUCUUUCUAAUGAAUUAAGAGUGCUUGAUUGGUCAAACUGACCUUUACAAUCUUUGCCAUCCAAUUUCAGUGGAGAGAAGCUCUUUGAUUUCAAACUAUAUAGAGGCCGCAUCUAGGAGAUUAGCGGGCAAUUUAAGAACUUGACGAGAAUGAAAUUGUUU